rnacentral:snRNA from 1 species
AUACUUACCUCAUAGGAGAGAUACCGCGAUCAGUUAGUUAAGGCGGUAUUCUCAGGGUGAGGCCUACCCAUUACACUACAGGGGGGAGGGUUGACCCUUGCCAUUUCCCCAAAUGUGGGAAAGUCGCCUGUGAAAUUUGUAGGAUGCAGGAUGCGAUAGACCGGC